CCUGCUAAGCUAUGCCCUCGAAAGGCCAACACAAACCCCCCUUCCUAGGGGGGAGCUAGCAUCAAACGUCUCCCUUCCGGGUGAGCCUUCUGAGCAAGGGCGCUGCAGCCUGGCUAGAGGUGCGGCACAACGCGUAGCGCGCCUACUCAGAAGUAUGUCCUCCGCAAUUCAAUAGGUCUUACUUCCAAGAUCGGUGUGAAAGGGAAGAAUACAGUUGGCUGCCUUUGAAGAACUGGUUCGAGAUCCACCACCGUCCACCUGGACUGGGCGAGAGUGCUUGUAGUCAGUCGAGAAAAUCCACUCUGCCGACUGAGUUUCAUUUGGACUCGGCAAGCGAAAGGAAGCUCGUAACUCCCCUUCGCCUUCUGACCAGCUCCUGCCACAGGCAAGGCCUCUCGUGUGUAUGUGCUGUCACUGUUGCGCGUGUGUUGUGCGCAGAUUUCUGCAUGAGCAAGAUGGGGACUGAUUGGAAUCCCAUUUACUCAUCCCUCUUCUCGCGUCGCUAUGAGUCUCCAAAGAGGAGCCCCGAAGUUUAUCCAAAGACGACUUAGAGGAAGAAGACAGGCCUUCUCAGUGAAUACGGCUCUGGAGGGCGGACAGAAGAGGAGGAAUAUAGGAGCAUCGAGCUUUCAAACAACUUCCGAAUUGCCCAGCAUUAGGUUAAAGCCGUCCUUCUUGCUAACUGCGUUUCAAGUAAGCUAGAACCCAAAUCUUUAAAGAAAAAGAAACUAGAAUUCGAGUCCAUCUAACCAAUUUGUUUUAAAAGUCCCGAAACUCUUAACCCAACCAGGCGUGUUUUGGUUUCCACUAGGCACUUGAGGCUUCACGCGCUUUCUCUGAUGCAGAGAAAGGUUCUAGCAAGCCACACUCAGUUCAUUCUGAAAGGCAAGAGUAGUCUCGGUGGGUGAUAGUCAACGUUCCUCCUACUCAAGAGUAGACCCACUGAAACCAAUGAUUUAUGCUUUUCAAGCCGCCACCUCCCGCGUGGAGUAUGAUAAUGUGGCUUUAAUAGUAGUUGUACUUCAGGAUUGCUAUAUUGGCUGCGAUUGUGUGGAACGCGAGGCUGAAUAUCAGGUACAGUCAAAGAUGAAGCACUUUUAAGGCCGGAGAUUGAAUGAGAUAUGCGGUUAACAUUAUAAGUGAAAUCAAUGAGUCAUAAAAAUACUUUGGCUGAAUACUGUGCUAUUAUGUAAAUGAUUCCACUAUUAUCCUGAUGCCCAGAUGUCGAGAAUACCCCUUUUAACAGAGGUUGCAAUCCUAGUCGUGGACGGGAGUCAGCGGGGAUGUCUAGGCAAGUAUAACUCGUGGGAGCCUGCCCGAUUGCAAAUGUGUAAGGUAACCGAUGGGUUUUCCUAUCAAGUAAUGUUCACAGGAUCAAAUAAACAAAGCAAUAUUUAAAGUCAAGUAGGCAAAGCAAUAAUAUACAUAGAGUACAUAGAAUAGGCAGCAUCUAUAUAUAUAGGCCUCGACUGAGAGCCUAACAACCCAGUCACAGAAUCGUAGCAUUGUAGAGUUGGAAGGGACCACGUGGGUCAUCUAGUUCAACCCAUUACAAGGCUGGAGUAUUUUUUUUGUCCAACCUCUGCCGACAAGAAAGCCCCUAUUUUCAGUCCGACUUGUCCUAGGACUUCCAUGGGCUGCAACUCAGGGAGUUGGCAGACUUUAGGCUUUUCUGAUCUAUUUUGCUUUUUACUAGAAUCCCAAGAUCUACCAAACAGAUUCUAGUGCCUCUGAGCCCAUUCGGGGCCUAGGAGUUGGUCUGCAGUAUCAGAACUGAGCUGAACUCACAGUCCUUUCUCACAACCCCAAAACAACCCCCCCAGCCCCCUUCAUUUCAGCAGUUUACUUUGGACGAAGCGGGAAGUAAUUUUGCUAAACAGUUGGGAGUCUGAAACCAAACUGCUUGGGAAUCUAGUGCAUAUCAGGCAAAGAUUUACCGUAGAUUCAGCUCUGUCUUUACUUGAGAAUAAAGUGUAUAUUUGGGGGUAAGGUUGCAGUCCGAUUCACAGUUUAGACGUGGAAUGGUAAGCGUGCCAACAAGAUUUGAUGAUGUAUGAAACAUGAUACUCCAGGUUCAUAUGUGCAUUUUAAAUACGCAUGUUAUUCAUACAGGCCAUCUUGGAGGGGGGCUACUCUAAGCACAGUAAGCCCACUGGCAAGCAAUAUCAAGAGCUAAAAUUAGUUCGUUAUCUUUCCCGCAUCUCUUUGCAUUAUACUGGAAAAUAACAGACAGGUAUUAUUGUUUAAGUUAAGAAAGGGGG